rnacentral:rRNA from 1 species
AAGUACAGUAGUAACUGGCUGUACCUUGACGGUACCUUAUUAGAAAGCCACGGCUAACUACGUGCCAGCAGCCGCGGUAAUACGUAGGUGGCAAGCGUUGUCCGGAAUUAUUGGGCGUAAAGCGCGCGCAGGUGGUUUCUUA